rnacentral:rRNA from 1 species
UACGAAGGGGGCUAGCGUUGCUCGGAAUCACUGGGCGUAAAGCGCACGUAGGCGGGUCGUUAAGUCAGGGGUGAAAUCCUGGAGCUCAACUCCAGAACUGCCUUUGAUACUGGCGAUCUCGAGUUCGGGAGAGGGUGAGUGGAACUGCGAGUGUAGAGGUGAAAUUCGUAGAUAUUCGCAAGAACACCAGUGGCGAAGGCGGCUCACUGGCCC